AUUGAACGCUGGCGGCAGGCCUAACACAUGCAAGUCGAGCGGAGCGGCGGACGGGUGAGUAAUGCCUAGGAAUCGGCCUGGUCGUGGGGGGUAACGUCCGGAAACGGACGCUAAUACCGCAUACUAUCAGAUGAGCCUAGGUAGGAUUAGCUAGUUGGUGGGGUAAAGGCCUACCAAGCCGACGAGCCGUAACUGGUCUGAGAGGAUGAUCAGUCACACUGUGACUGAGACACGGUCCAGACUCCUACGGGAGGCAGCAGUGGGGAAUAUUGGACAAUGGGCGAAAGCCUGAUCCAGCCAUGCCGCGUGUGUGAAGAAGGUCUUCGGGUUGUAAAGCACUUUAAGUUGGGAGGCGUUACCGACAGAAUAAGCACCGGCUAACUCCGUGCCAGCAGCCGCGGUAAUUC
rnacentral:rRNA from 1 species